AACGAACGCUGGCGGCAUGCCUAACACAUGCAAGUCGAACGAGAUCUUCGGGUCUAGUGGCGCACGGGUGCGUAACGCGUGGGAAUCUGCCCUUUGCUUCGGAAUAACAGUGAGAAAUUACUGCUAAUACCGGAUGAUGUCUUCGGACCAAAGAUUUAUCGGCAAGGGAUGAGCCCGCGUAGGAUUAGGUAGUUGGUGGGGUAAUGGCCUACCAAGCCGACGAUCCUUAGCUGGUCUGAGAGGAUGAUCAGCCACACUGGGACUGAGACACGGCCCAGACUCCUACGGGAGGCAGCAGUGGGGAAUAUUGGACAAUGGGGGAAACCCUGAUCCAGCAAUGCCGCGUGAGUGAUGAAGGCCUUAGGGUUGUAAAGCCCUUUUACCAGGGAUGAUAAUGACAGUACCUGGAGAAUAAGCUCCGGCUAACUCCGUGCCAGCCGCCGCGGUAAAAC
rnacentral:rRNA from 1 species